rnacentral:rRNA from 1 species
GACAGAGGGUGCAAACGUUGUUCGGAAUUUCUGGGCGUAAAGCGCGUGUAGGCGGCUUCGCAAGUCGGGUGUGAAAGCCCUGGGCUCAACCCAGGAAGUGCAUUCGAAACUGCGGAGCUGGAGUCCUGGAGAGGAAGGCGGAAUUCUCGGUGUAGAGGUGAAAUUCGUAGAUAUCGAGAGGAACGUCGGUGGCGAAGGCGGCCUUCUGGACAGCGACUGACGCUGAGACGCGAAAGCGUGGGGAGCAAACAGG